rnacentral:rRNA from 1 species
AGCGAACGCUGGCGGCGUGCUUAACACAUGCAAGUCGAGCGAGAAAGUCCCGCAAGGGAUGAGUACAGCGGCGAACGGGUGCGUAACACGUGGGCCAUCUAUCCUUGAGACCGGAAUAACCCAGCGAAAGUUGGGCUAAUGCCGGAUAAGACCACGAGCAGACAUGUUUGCGGUCAAAGGGUGCUUCUACUCGGAGCAUUCACUCACGGAGGAGCCCGCGGCCAUCAGCUAGUUGGUAGGGUAACGGCCUACCAAGGCAAAGACGGGUAGCUGGUCUGAGAGGAUGACCAGCCACAC